UGUUCGCUUUCCAAAUAAAUCCCCUCUCUGAGAAGAACGGUGCUCCAUAGACACACCGUUGCAGCUCACAGCUUCUCUCUAUUCUCCUCUUCUUCUGGUCCGUCACAAUUCCCCCAACAAUGGAUGCUCAGCGAGCUUUGCUGGACGAGCUCAUGGGCUCAGCUCGGAAUUUGACUGAGGAAGAGAGAAGGGGUUACAGGGAGAUUAAAUGGGACGAUAAGGAGGUUUGUGCGUUUUACAUGGUGCGGUUCUGCCCUCAUGAUCUCUUCGUCAACACUCGGAGCGACCUCGGACCAUGCCCGAGAAUUCAUGAUUUGAAGUUGAAAGAGAGCUUUGAGCAGUCUCCUAGACACGAUGCCUUUAUCGCCAAGUUUGAAGCAGAACUUUGCCAGUUCUGUGAGAAAUUGGUUUCUGAUUUAGAUAGAAGAGUUAGACGUGGGCGGGAACGCCUUGCUCAAGAGGUUGAACCUGCCCCCUCUGCUGCGCUGUCAGCUGAAAAAUCUGAACAACUAUCUGUGCUGGAGGAGAAAAUUAAGAACCUGCUUGAACAAGUAGAAUCCCUUGGUGAAGCUGGAAAAGUUGACGAAGCUGAAGCACUCAUGAGGAAGGUCGAGCUGCUUAAUGCUGAAAAGACAUCGUUGACGCAACAACCUCAGAACGAGAAGCUAUUGAUGCUUACGCAGGAGAAAAAGAUGGCUCUUUGCGAGAUAUGUGGCUCUUUCCUAGUGGCAAAUGACGCAGCUGAAAGGAUUCAAUCGCAUGUCACAGGGAAACAGCAUGUGGGUUAUGGUAUGGUUCGGGACUUCAUCUCAGAGUAUAAGACUGCGAAGGAGGAGAAAAGGGAAGAGGAAAGGUUAGCUAGGGAGAAAGAAGCCGAAGAGAGGAAGAAGAUAAGGGAAAAGGAGCACGAGAGUAGAAGAAGAAGUGGAUCGAGAGACAAGGAUAGAUAUCGUGAACAGGAGCGGGACAGGGAUCAGGGCAGAGACAGAGAGAGGGAACGGGAUCGCUACCGGGAACGUGGUCGAGAUCGUGAGAGGUCACGAGAGAGGAAUGGUAGAGGUAGUUAUGAUGGAGGUAGAGGAAUGAAUUGGAGAUCCAGGAAAGGUAGAGAUGGUGCCAGGGAUCGGUACCAAGACAGAAGUAGGUCUCGCUCCCCUGUCAGGCAUGGUUACAAGGGUUCAUCUAGAAGUCCCGAUCACUGAAAUUUGGAAUAUGUAGCUGAAUGAAGCUCUAAACUUAUUAAGGUAGAUUUUUAUCUCAGAGAGUUUAUCACCCUUGCUUAACUCUCCAGUAAUUUCUUGCGGUGUGUGAAACUCCUUUUGUCCUAUCUCACAGCUUUCUUGAGAGUAUUACGAUCUCCGUCUGAUCAAUGUAGUUAAUGGAGAACAGGGCUGAGGUUGAUUCAGAGUCCCUGCCCUUUCCUUCUAAUUAAAGCAAUUGACUGGUUGGGGGUACUCUUUUUCCCAAGUAUUUAAGAGGACAGGCUCCAAAAAUGUAUGAAUGCAAAUGCUGAAGGGAUAUUGAUUGUUCCCUUGAUCUUAAGGUAACCUUAAGCUCUUUUCUCACCAGUGCAGCAUUUUGUUUAUGCCCUUGUGUGUAGCUCGACUAUCUUCUUUUUUUGCUCUACAUUUUCUGUCACGUGAUUCAGCCAUUUCCUUAACUUAUAUAUCCUUUUGAUUUAUUUGAGGUUGGUGUGAGCUACUUGAAGAUGAUUUCGAACUUAGGUUUCAUCUCCUUCUGAUCAUUUCGAAUAACGGGCAGGUAUAUUUUACUCAUAAUCCUCCCAUUGCCUUUAACUGCCUUAAGCUUCUGUAUGGGAGAGUUCAAAUGGCAGAAAGGUGUACGCGUGUGAGCCUUUGUAUAGCUACGCCACCUUGUACGGAAGUUAACCGUUGUACAAAUAGUUGCAAUCUCUGGGAUCUGGUCAUAAUCACCUUGAACUUUUACAGAGGGAUUAUGUAGCUUCUUUGCGGUCGCCCAUUAUGCAACUAUCUUAGGCAAGUGAUGUUUGUUUUGGAUUGAAGCCGGUCACUGGGCUACAGAAUUUGCUAACUACGUAGUGCUAGACCAGAGGUAAACUCAUUAUCAUAACAGCCAAAAUAGCAUGUUUCAAUUGUAGUAUGCAGGAGAGGCAGGUUAUCAGUUAUCCAUCUCGUUUCAGGGUACGUGUUUCUCGCUGUGUUAGUAGGUUUCUUGUGUUAUAAUGGAAAGUUCCAUACAGAGGAAAGUCAUUCGAUCACUCCUGCCAAAAUGUGUAUUGAGAAAAUAUUUGAAACAAAGGACCAGUUUACAUAUCAGCAGAGUCGGCUGUGUAAAUACUUGAAAAGAAA